GCCAGGUUUAGUGGCGUGCACCUGUAGUCUCAGCUAGUCAGGAGGCUGAGGUGGGAGGAUCACUUGAGCCUGGGAGGUUGGGGCUACAGUGAGCCAUGAUUGUGCCACUGUACUCCAGCCUGGGCAAUAGAGCAAGACCCUGUCUCUU
ensembl:misc_RNA Metazoa_SRP Metazoan signal recognition particle RNA